rnacentral:rRNA from 1 species
UGACCUCAAAUCAGGUAGGACUACCCGCGAACUA